rnacentral:lncRNA from 1 species
GUCGGCACCACUGUCCUCAUCUGGAAAGUAGAAUGGUUGUAAGGAUUGGAUACGUUCCUAAGUCAUAAAACGCCCAAAACAGGAGCUGGCACUUAGGAAACUCAAAAUAAGAAGAGUGAAUACUUUUUUUUUCUUAUUAUUUUCUGGUUUGUAUCUCUAUGCUUUACAAAUUUUCUACAAUUCAGCAUGAUUAUCACGCUCAACAAAAUUGCCCAGGAUCCUCCCUCAGUCCAGCCCAGAAGUCUGCAGAAGGUGGGCCACAGCCUCCUUUCUCCACCUCCACCCACGCCCCCUCCCUUUCUGGAAUUCUCCCUUCCCCACCUUCCUCCCCUCCUACCUCUCCCCCAUCUCUCUCUUUUCCCCCUUCCCUUUACCCCCAUCUCCUCUCUCCCUCCACUCUUCCUCCUCCCCCAACUCUUCCUCCUCCCCCCUCCCAUCCCUCAAUACCACCCCCCCCACCCCCAUCCCCUGCGGCCGCGGUUCCGGUGCCGCGGGGGCCUCUGGGAGCGGGAGGGGCGCGGUCGGGUCUCGGGUAGGUUCGGGUCCGCUCGGCUCCAUUCGGGUCCGCUCGGCUCAACUCGGGUCCGCUCGGCUCCAUUCGGCUCCACGGGCGGGAAGGCCGGAGCGGAGGCGGAGGCGCGCGAGCUUCUGGGAAGUGUAGUCCGCCCGUCUGCGCAGGCGCAGUGCGGCCUGGAGGACGUAGGGCGCCCGUUAUUGUACAGACUGACCCGCGCUGAGCCCACCGUUCCUGGUCACCGUGGGCAGUGGAGGGAUGGCCGCCCAGCUGCUGACUGAUGAGGCCCUGGUGAGUCAUGUUGCCUCCCUCUCCUUUCCAGAGGGAUGUCCCUCUGACCCCCAGUCCCAUCCAGGGCCCAUGUCCCCACCUCCUGGGGGUUCUGUCUACCCUGAGGAAGGACAGCAGUGCUCAGGGGUGAUGCUCCUGUCCACUCUGCCCCCUCCAGGCCCAGGAGCCUCUCUCUUGCCUGUCCCUGACAUUGACUUUUGUCAACCAAGGAGGACAGGGCAGCUGGGGAGUGACUGGUUCUGCCCUGAGGGCCCUCAGGAGACACAGGAGGGCACCCGGAAAGUGGUGGUUUAAAUGUGUAUAAGACUCACUGGAACAAGGCCCACACAUUUCAGACAGCAGUUACAUUGGGGGAGGGAGGGCACCCAUGGGGAGGGCACACGGCUGG